UCUAGUUCCAGGAGUCCUAUCUAUCCCAAGAAGAUUUUGACCAUGUCAAGCAGAGAAAUGGAGGCCACCGACAGUGCUGGCAUGCACCCAAGGCAGGAUCCAACUGUUGCAUCAGAUGACACCCUGAAUAUAGAUGCAAUCACUGCAGGCCUGCAGUGGACCAGCCCAGCCGAGGCCCUACAAGUGGGGAAACAUCAGGCGUUUGGACAUAAGGAAGGCACAGGUGAGUGCAGUGGUGGACCUGAGGAUGGAUCCACAACCUGGAGCCUGCCAGAACCCAGGAACAUUUCCAGAGG